rnacentral:rRNA from 1 species
CGGACGGGUGAGUAACACGUAGGCAACCUGCCCUUUAGCCUGGGAUAACUACCGGAAACGGUAGCUAAUACCGGAUACUUUCGAUGUCCGCAUGGACGACGAACGAAAGACGGAGCAAUCUGUCACUGAAGGAUGGGCCUGCGGCGCAUUAGCUAGUUGGUGGGGUAACGGCUCACCAAGGCGACGAUGCGUAGCCGACCUGAGAGGGUGAUCGGCCACACUGGGACUGAGACACGGCCCAG